AUUGAACGCUGGCGGCAGGCCUAAUACAUGCAAGUCGAACUGUGUCUUCGGACAUAGUGGCGCACGGGUGCGUAACACGUCUCAAACCUAUCUUACAUUGGAGGAUAGCCUUUCGAAAGGGAGAUUAAUACCGCAUAAGACAGUAGCUGGGCAUCCAGCAGCUGUUAAAGAUUUAUCGAUGUAAGCUGGGAAUGCAUCCAAUUAGCUAGUUGGUGAUGUAACGGCUCACCAAGGCAAUGAUUGGUAGGUGAACUGAGAGGUCAAUCCCCCACCCUGGAACUGAAAUACGAGCCAGACUCCUACGGGAGGCAGCAGUAGGGAAUAGUGGGCAAUGGACGCAAGUCUGACCCAGCCAUGCCGCGUGUAGGAUGAAUGCGUUAUGCGUUGUAAACUGCUUUUAUACAGGAAGAAACGACUCUUGCGAGAGGCAUUGACGGUACUGUAUGAAUAAGCACCGGCUACCUCCGUGCCAGCAGCCGCAGUAAGAC
rnacentral:rRNA from 1 species